rnacentral:rRNA from 1 species
AGACCCGAAACCCGGUGAUCUAGCCAUGGGCAGGUUGAAGGUUGGGUAACACUAACUGGAGGACCGAACCGACUAAUGUUGAAAAAUUAGCGGAUGACCUGUGGCUGGGGGUGAAAGGCCAAUCAAACCGGGAGAUAGCUGGUUCUCCCCGAAAGCUAUUUAGGUAGCGCCUCGUGAAUUCAUCUCCGGGGGUAGAGCACUGUUUCGGCUAGGGGGCCAUCCCGGCUUACCAACCCGAUGCAAACUGCGAAUACCGGAGAAUGUUAUCACGGGAGACACACGGCGGGUGCUAACGUCCGUCGUGAAGAGGGAAACAACCCAGACCGCCAGCUAAGGUCCCAAAGUCAUGGUUAAGUGGGAAACGAUGUGGGAAGGCCCAGACAGCCAGGAUGUUGGCUUAGAAGCAGCCAUCAUUUAAAGAAAGCGUAAUAGCUCACUGGUCGAGUCGGCCUGCGCGGAAGAUGUAACGGGGCUAAACCAUGCACCGAAGCUGCGGCAGCGAACGUAUCACCCAAGACAACUUUACGGAGUUGACGAUUGACGGAGCGAAGCGACGUCAAAGCGUUCAUUAAAGUCGAGUUGGCUUAGGGAUACGUUCGUUGGGUAGGGGAGCGUUCUGUAAGCCUGUGAAGGUGUGUCGUGAGGCAUGCUGGAGGUAUCAGAAGUGCGAAUGCUGACAUAAGUAACGAUAAAGCGGGUGAAAAGCCCGCUCGCCGGAAGACCAAGGGUUCCUGUCCAACGUUAAUCGGGGCAGGGUGAGUCGACCCCUAAGGCGAGGCCGAAAGGCGUAGUCGAUGGGAAACGGGUUAAUAUUCCCGUACUUGGUGUUACUGCGAAGGGGGGACGGAGAAGGCUAUGUUGGCCGGGCGACGGUUGUCCCGGUUUAAGCGUGUAGGUGUGUGUUCCAGGUAAAUCCGGUUCACUUUAACACUGAGGCGUGACGACGAGGCACUACGGUGCUGAAGCAACAAAUGCCCUGCUUCCAGGAAAAGCCUCUAAGCAUCAGGUAACAUCAAAUCGUACCCCAAACCGACACAGGUGGUCAGGUAGAGAAUACCAAGGUGCUUGAGAGAACUCGGGUGAAGGAACUAGGCAAAAUGGUGCCGUAACUUCGGGAGAAGGCACGCUGACACGUAGGUGAAGUGAUUUACUCA